GAAAAGCCCCAGGGGCUUCCAGGACAUGAACUAGCCACAGAGGUGUCUUCUCCAGAUGAAUAUUUAUCAUUUGGUCAUUCCUGAGAUGAGUGUACUGUGUAUAGAUACAAGUUUUGAUGUUCUGAGCUGAAGAUCUUCUCUUGGUUGGAAGAUGUAACCUUCUGAGUGA
rnacentral:lncRNA from 14 species